GAUGAACGCUAGCGGCGUGCCUAAUACAUGCAAGUCGAGCGAACGGACGAGAAGCUUGCUUCUCUGAUGUUAGCGGCGGACGGGUGAGUAACCCGUGGAUAACCUACAUAUAAGAAUAGGAUAACUUCGGGAACCCGGAGCUAAUACCGGAAAAUAUUUUCAACCGCAUGGUUCAAAAGUGACAGACGGUCUUGCUGUCACUUUAAGAUGGAUCCGCGCUGCAUUAGCUAGUUGGUAAGGUAACGGCUUACCACGGCAACGAUGCAUAGCCGACCUGAGAGAGGGAUCGGACACACUGGAACUGAGACACGGUCCAGACUCCGACGGGAGGCAGCAGCAGGGAAUCUUCCGCGGUGGGCGAAAGCCUGACGGAGCAACGCCGCGUGAGUGAUGAAGGUCUUCGGAUCGUAAAACUCUGGUAUUAGGGAAGAACAUAUGUGUAAGUAACUGUGCACAUCUUGACGGUACCUAAGCAGAAAGCCACGGCUAACUCCGUG
rnacentral:rRNA from 1 species